rnacentral:rRNA from 1 species
CGUGGGUAACCUGCCCAAGAGACUGGGAUAACACCUGGAAACAGAUGCUAAUACCGGAUAACAACACUAGACGCAUGUCUAGAGUUUAAAAGAUGGUUCUGCUAGCACUCUUGGAUGGACCUGCGGUGCAUUAGCUAGUUGGUAAGGUAACGGCUUACCAAGGCAAUGAUGCAUAGCCGAGUUGAGAGACUGAUCGGCCACAUUGGGACUGAGACACGGCCCAAACUCCUACGGGAGGCAGCAG